rnacentral:rRNA from 1 species
GGGACCCGUCUUGAAACACGGACCAAGGAGUCUAGCAUGUGCGCGAGUCAUUGGGACUCUAACGAAACCUAAAGGCGUAAUGAAAGUGAAGGUCCGCCUAGCGCGGACCGAGGGAGGAUGGGUGUCCCCGUGGGGACGCCUCGCACUCCCAGGGCGUCUCGUUCUCAUUGCGAGAAGAGGCGCACCAAGAGCGUACACGCUGGGACCCGAAAGAUGGUGAACUAUGCCUGGUCAGGACGAAGUCAGGGGAAACCCUGAUGGAGGUCCGUAGCGAUUCUGACGUGCAAAUCGAUCGUCGGAACUGGGUAUAGGGGCGAAAGACUAAUCGAACCAUCUAGUAGCUGGUUCCCUCCGAAGUUUCCCUCAGGAUAGCUGGCGCUCGCUUCUCGCGAGUCUCAUUCGGUAAAGCGAAUGAUUAGAGGCAUUGGGGUCGAAACGGCCUCAACCUAUUCUCAAACUUUAAAUGGGUGAGAUCUCCGGCUUGCUUGAACUGUGAAGCCGCGAGAUAUCGGAUCAGAGUGCCAAGUGGGCCACUUUUGGUAAGCAGAACUGGCGCUGUGGGAUGAACCAAACGCUGAGUUAAAGCGCCUAAAUCGACGCUUAUGGGAUACCAUGAAAGGCGUUGGUAACUUAAGACAGCAGGACGGUGGCCAUGGAAGUCGGAAUCCGCUAAGGAGUGUGUAAA